rnacentral:rRNA from 1 species
UAAGGAAUAUUGGUCAAUGGACGCAAGUCUGAACCAGCCAUGCCGCGUGAAGGAUGAAAGCCCUCUGGGUUGUAAACUUCUUUUAUCUGGGAAGAAACCACCUUUUUCUAAGGGUGUUGACGGUACCAGAGGAAUAAGCACCGGCUAACUCCGUGCCAGCAGCCGCGGUAAUACGGAGGGUGCAAGCGUUAUCCGGAUUCACUGGGUUUAAAGGGUGCGUAGGCGGAUUAGUAAGUCCGUGGUGAAAUCUCCAAGCUUAACUUGGAAACUGCCAUGGAUACUAUUAGUCUUGAAUGUUGUGGAGGUUAGCGGAAUAUGUCAUGUAGCGGUGAAAUGCAUAGAUAUGACAUAGAACACCAAUUGCGAAGGCAGCUGGCUACACAAAUAUUGACGCUGAGGCACGAAAGCGUGGGGAUCAAACA